GAGAGAGAAGAAGAAGAAGAAGAAGAAGAAGAAGAAGAAGAAGAAGAAGAAGAAGAAGAAGAAGAAGAAAGGGCAUUUGUUCCAGGUUUUGGAUGAAGUCAUUGAGUAAGUGCGAUGUUAGCUAUCAGUUUUUUCACAAAUACCCUUAAUCUAGCUGAGGGAUUCCCAUUUUAUUUCUAGUUCGAUAAGAAUGUUUUAUAUUUGAAUUAUAAAAGAUACUGGGGGCUCAACAGGUAAAGGUACUUGCUGCAAGCUUGACAUCCUGAGUUCAGUCUCUGGGCUUCACUUGGUGACAGGAGAGAACCAACCAAUUCUUGGAAGUUGUCCUCCUUUGACCACCACACUUGUGAUGUGACACAAGUAGCAUCCUCCUUUGUGAUCUUUCUGAAUAUUAAUCAACUCAAGUGAUCUUGAAGGCUGGCUAGGAACUCACUGUUCAGCUAAGGCUGGCCUCAAACUCUAUGAAAGUGAAGCCUGCAUUGUGUUGAGACUCCAAGAUGCUGGAAGGGCCAAAGCUGUGGGACGUCUUCUAAAGAGGGCUACAGACAGAGAGUAGAACCAGCCCAAAAGAGAGAAAUUUGUUACAAUCAGCAAAACUGGAAAGGCAGAGCCAUCAAAGCCCUUCAACAUCAGAAGUGGAACUACAGGAUUUGGAGUUUGCCCUGCUGGGUUUCAUUCUUGCUUUGAUCCAGAAUUUGCUCACUCUUGCCCCUAUACCUCCCUUUUGGAACUAUAAUGUAUACUCUGUGUCAUUGUAUGUUGGAAGUAUGUAAUUUUCUUUUUGAUAUUCCAGGGGGUUACAAUUAAGAGAUUGCCUUAAGUCUCAGAAAAGACUUUGAACUUUGAUCUUUAAAAUUGUGUUGAGACUGGGAAAGAUGAUGAGGACUUUUGAAAUUGAACUAAAUACAUUUUGCAGUACUAUAUGGCCAAAAGUCUAUGAAGACCUGGGAGUGGAAUAUGGUAGUUUGAUUGAAAAUGGCCCCCCAUAAGCUUAAAUAUUUGAAUAAUGGAUCCCCAGUUGGUGGAACUCUUUGGGGAGGAUGGAGAACUGUGGUCUUGUUGGAGGAGAUGUGUCACUGGGGAUAGACUUUGACAUUUCAAAAGCCCACACCAUUCUUAGUUAGCUCUCUCUCUCUCUCUCUCUCUCUCUCUCUCUCUCUCUCUCUCUCUCUCUCUCUCUCUCUGAUUCCUACCUGCAGAUAAGGACACAGGAUCUCAGCUUCUGCUCCAGAGCCAUGCCUGCCUGCUGCCAUGCUCCCCACCAUGAUGGUAGUGGACUCACUCUCUGAAACUGUAAACUCCCCAGUAAACUUAUUUCCCUCAUAAGUUGCCUUGGUUAUGGUAUCUCAUCACAGCAAUAGAAAAGUACUAAGACCGUAGAAACCAGGGCAGAUAUUUUAAAAUCUCUAGUGAUGGAUUUGUUUAUUUAUUCUUAAAAAAUAUAUUAGUUUUUAGUUAUCACACACAUACGUACACACAAAAUCUAUUUCUCUCUAUAUAUAAAGGGAGAUAAGAUAGGAUCUCAUGUGACCCAGGAUGGAAUCAGACUCAAUAUAUAAUUAUGUACAUGAGGAUAAUCUUGAAUUUCUGAUGCUCCUGGCUGCUGGGUUACAAACUCCUGCUCCCAUUCAGUGCUGGAGAUGGAACUCAGGGCUCAUACAUGGUAGCCACUCUACUAACUAAGAUGUUAUGCAGCCCCAGCCUUGUCUUCACACACCAUGGGGGUCUGCAUUUAGAUGCAUAAUGUGUGAUUGUUAUAGUCUCUUGAGUCAGCUUCUUCUUUAUGGAAUAAUCUUCUUUAUCCAUGAUACUAGUUUUUAAAUUUCUGUUACAACUUUGUCUGGUUUUUUUUUUUUUUUCAUUUUAAAGCUAUUUAUACCUUUGCAUUUUAAGUGUGUUGUUUAUGGGGCAUAUACUUGAGACUUACAUUCUUUUAACUAUGAUAAUGAUAGUAUGUGUGUACAUGUGUGUGCUGGGGAACAUGGCAUACACGUGGAAGUCUGAGGACAACUUUGUGGUGGGUUGUCCGGCAUACAAGGCAAAUGCCUUUACCCUUUGAGCUGUUUCUCAGCCCCAAUUUGUAUUGUGACUUAACUCUUUUGUUUGUUCUUUGGAGGUUGUACAUGUAUGUCCUAAUGUAUGCUUAAUAUUUGUGUGAUAUUUUUAGAUUUUAGUAAAAAUGGAAAACCUAAAAAACUAUUUUGAGAACAGUUGCAUCUCUAUGGCAUAUUUUGUGGCCCUCUAGUGGCCAUAAUAAAUAACCAAUUAUUUGACA